CUCACACCUAACUGAGGUCUUAGAGCAGAAUGAGGUAGCGUGGCUGGUGAGGGAAUGGUCACAUGCUCUGUAUUCUCAGAGAUAUGUUAUGAAAGUGUCUCCAGCCCUCCCUUUCUACAAUCAAGCCAAAUUAGUUUCUGUUGGUGUCGAGAUAGACCACAGCUGAAAAUUCCCCAGCUGUCCGUGAACAGAUCACCUGGAACCAGCCAAUUAAGAAAAACUGAUGAUUUUGGCUUAAAUAUCCUUUAAUCAAGACACUGUUUCUCACUCCCCUGACUCUCCCCUCUUGCCCUGAGGUUUUUUUGCCUUUAUAAUCUUUUCUUCCCUGACCCCUCAGAGCACACUUGUAUUUUAUUUAUACUAGGGGCUGUGUCUCCCCAAUCUAUAGAUAAUUUUUUUUUUUAAAUGAAACUCUUCCGUUUUUCUUUCACAACUAUUGUGGUCUUUUGUUAAGAUUUCUUGCUUUCUUUUUUUUUGAGACAGGAUCUUGCUCUCAGCUUGCCCAGGCUGGAGUGCAGUGAUGAAAUCAUAGCUCUGCAGUCUCAAACUCCUGGCCUCAAGUGAUCUUCCUGCCUCAACUUCCCAAAUAGCUGAGACUACAGGCAUGAGGCACAACACCUGGCUAAUUUCUAAUUUUUUUUUUUUUUUUUGCAGAGAAGGGGUCCUGCUAUGUUGCCCAGGCUUGUUUCAAAUUCCUGGCAUCAAGUGACCCUCCCGCAGUGCUGGGAUUACCAAUGUGAGCCACUGCAUCUGGCUCUAUGUCGUGAACAUUUUUUGAUGAUGAGGAUGCGAUCUGAAGGGGACCCCAAGCUCCUUUUCUGUGCUACCUGGACCAAUGCAUCGGCACCUGUGAGAUUUCUUUCAGCUCAGCCGCCUUCACAGCUGCAUUGGGUAGAAAUCAGUGGAAGAAAAUAA
rnacentral:lncRNA from 1 species